rnacentral:misc_RNA from 1 species
AAGUCGUAACAAGGUUUCCGUAGGUGAACCUGCGGAAGGAUCAUUAAUGAAUAAACCUGGUCGAGUUGUUGCUGGUCCUUCGGGACAUGUGCACGCUCACCACUUUUAUAACCACCUGUGCACCUUUUGUAGACUGGAAACGUUCUCGAGGCAACUCGGAUUGAGGACUGCUGUGCGCAAGCCAGCUGUUCUUGUGUUUCUCAGUCUAUGUUUUUCAUAUACCCCAAAUGUAUGUAUCUGAAUGCAUUGCUAGGCCUUAGUGCCUUUAAAACAAAUACAACUUUCAACAACGGAUCUCUUGGCUCUC